rnacentral:rRNA from 1 species
UGCAAGUCGAACGCUUCUUUUUCCACCGGAGCUUGCUCCACCGGAAAAAGAGGAGUGGCGAACGGGUGAGUAACACGUGGGUAACCUGCCCAUCAGAAGGGGAUAACACUUGGAAACAGGUGCUAAUACCGUAUAACAAUCGAAACCGCAUGGUUUUGAUUUGAAAGGCGCUUUCGGGUGUCGCUGAUGGAUGGACCCGCGGUGCAUUAGCUAGUUGGUGAGGUAACGGCUCACCAAGGCGACGAUGCAUAGCCGACCUGAGAGGGUGAUCGGCCACAUUGGGACUGAGACACGGCCCAAACUCCUACGGGAGGCAGCAGUAGGGAAUCUUCGGCAAUGGACGAAAGUCUGACCGAGCAACGCCGCGUGAGUGAAGAAGGUUUUCGGAUCGUAAAACUCUGUUGUUAGAGAAGAACAAGGAUGAGAGUAACUGUUCAUCCCUUGACGGUAUCUAACCAGAAAGCCACGGCUAACUACGUG